UCUCGCCCGAGCUUUACUUCCUCUCCAAGCUUCCGGCUGAAGUCGAUGUCGGAGAGACCGCCGCGGUGGUGAUCAUGGCAUUGACGCUGUCGUUCCUGGCGACGCUGUACCCGUCAUGGCGGGGGGGGCGGNNNNNGAAGCGCUCAGGUACGAAUGAGCGCACAGAUGGAGCAGGGGGAAAAUGGCGUACCGGUCGUUUAUCUGCACGACGUCCGCAGGCGCUACAAACAGGGCGAAGCCACGCUGACCAUUCUCGACGGCGCCAGUCUG
rnacentral:misc_RNA from 1 species